rnacentral:rRNA from 1 species
CCCUUAGAUGUUCUGGGCCGCACGCGCGCUACACUGACGAUGGCAACGAGUUUUUCCUUCGCCGAAAGGUGUGGGUAAUCUUUUGAAACAUCGUCGUGCUGGGGAUAGAUCAUUGCAAUUUUUGAUCUUGAACGAGGAAUUCCUAGUAAGCGCGAGUCAUCAGCUCGCGUUGAUUACGUCCCUGCCCUUUGUACACACCGCCCGUCGCUACUACCGAUUGAAUGGUUUAGUGAGGACUCCUGAUUGGCGCCGCCGCCCCGGCAACGGAGCAGCGGACUGCCGAAAAGUUGUUCAAACUUGAUCAUUUAGCGGAAGUAAAAGUCGUAACA